CUUGAAUGUUUUCCUGUGUCUGGUGCAAAAAUAAAGUUUAAUGUCUAGAGAAAGGAGGGCAUUCUAAUUGUGUUAGAAUGAAUUAGAAUUAGUUCCUGCUUAAUAUUCAUUUUACUUAAUUAACUUCUUACUAACUGUCCUCACCAGAGCUGUUGGCAUUAACCCCCUGAAUGGGUCAGAAGAGAUACGGAUAAACUGAAGGCAAAUGAGGAGAGCAGAUUGCUCAUGGUGUGCUGAAUGCUUUGGUACGUCUUUGUGCUGUGAAUGUACAAGGCUGACAAGCAGAAAGCAUGUGAAAAAGGAGUUGUUUGUGUGAAUGUCAAAUACUAACCUAUAUUUUAGAGGAAUGCUUUGCAAUCUUGCUGUUUGAUAUUGAUCAAAAAGCCUUAGAAACAACUGGUUUGGUGCUUUUAUUUCCUUCCAGAGCGUACCAAGCAUCUCUCGAAAUUGCUUGUAAUGUAAUCAGAAAGCACUGACCCAUAACCUAUGCAAAUGUCAUGAAUAAUAGGUUCCAGCUAAGUGAAUCUUGUACUAGAGACAAGCUGGAGUAAUAAUAUAUGAAUUACUCAUUCUUUCUUCUCCAUUUUCUUGUUUGUAGAUGUGGCAAGGUACUGCAGUUCUUCACAUCUUGGAUGCACUACAUGCAUCGUAUGGACACAUAUGUCCUGAGUGUUUCACCUCAUUCACCAAACAGCAGGAAGGUUACGCACAGUAGAAAACAUCUUCUUCCAGAAGACCUUGAAAAACUGUUGGAAUGAUGACGUCCUACAGAAGCUGUGCUGUGCUUGAGGAUAUCCUUGGAAUGAGAAACACAUCUAAGAUUCAAGUCCAAGUUCAAUGUGGUUGUUGAAGAGCAUCAAUGUUCAAGCUCCUUUUUUGCAUCAGGCUUCUUCAGUUCUGAAAACGUCAGAUUCCAGCUGCAAGCUUAAGAAGCAGCUGGAUAUAAGUGAUGUGCCCUAUAAUGUGUUCAAAGCUGCUUGUACUGUAACACUUCUGUUUCAAAUAAACUGCUAAUUUUUUUUUUGUUUCA
rnacentral:lncRNA from 1 species